CCUACGGGUGGCAGCAGUGGGGGAUAUUGCACAAUGGGGGGAACCCUGAUGCAGCGACGCCGCGUGGGUGAAGGAGUGCUUCGGCAUGUAAAGCCAUAUCGGCAGGGAAGAAGCAAGACGGUACCUGACUAAGAAGCCCCGGCUACCUACGUGCCAGCAGCCGCGGUAAUACGUAGGGGGCGAGCGUUAUCCGGAUAUACUGGGUGUAAAGGGUGCGUAGACGGCCAUGCAAGCCAGGGGUGAAAGCCCGGGGCACAACCCCGGGACUGCCCUUGGAACUGUGCCGCUAGAGUGCGGGAGGGGCAGGCGGAAUUCCUGGUGUAACGGUGAAAUGCGUAGAUAUCAGGAGGAACACCGGCGGCGAAGGCGGCCUGCUGGACUGCGACUGACGUUGAGGCUCGAAAGCGUGGGGAGCGAACAGGAUUAGAUACCCGGGUAGUC
rnacentral:rRNA from 1 species